rnacentral:rRNA from 1 species
UACGGAGGGUGCAAGCGUUAUCCGGAAUCACUGGGUUUAAAGGGUGCGUAGGUGGGGAGGUAAGUCAGCGGUGAAAUCCCCGAGCUUAACUUGGGAACUGCCAUUGAUACUAUCUCUCUUGAAUAUCUUGGAGGUGAGCGGAAUAUGUCAUGUAGCGGUGAAAUGCUUAGAUAUGACAUAGAACACCAAUUGCGAAGGCAGCUCACUACACGGUAAUUGACACUGAGGCACGAAAGCGUGGGGAUCAAACAGG